CCGGCGCAGCCCGCGGUCAGCUGCAGGUUUCCUCCGUCCCGCUGAGCUGCUCCGGCCUCUGCCGCCGUCUGCGCUGCGGGGUCCCCGGUUGGUGCGGAAGAGGUUUCCCCGCCCCGCUGUGGCAGAAGCUGCCUUUGCCUUCAUUUAACACGAGGAGCUGGUCUACUGACAGGAAAACAACACUAGAAGGGGCCGUAUUCUUCUCCGGAGCUCUUGUACACGUGCUGCACUGAAUUCUCAAGUCACUGAAUGACCUUUUGUUAAUUGUAUGCUCCGAUGUGUUAAGCACGUUCACUCGGCACACAACUAGGAUAUUUUUUCUGGACUACAUUGUCCCAAACUGAACGUAACACCUGACUUACGCUGAAUUGUAUGACCAUAACGUGUAAUGCAGAAGUGCUGUGCGUGCCUGUUACACUGCAUUGUGAAAGUGUCUUGGUAGUAGAAAUGUAACCUCCCAGAGAUAUACCAGAAAGACAGAAGUCAUGACCUCGUUAGUAAAGUCUUUAGAGACAAGAAGCACUAGAGAUGACCUUGUGGUCUGCAUAACUCUGGAUGCGCCCAAGGAAAGAUAGCAGCUUCCUUUCUCACCCUUCCAUCCCUCCUUUUUCUUUUUUUAAUAUGCCACGACCAUCACCUAGGACAGAAUAAGACUCUUCCUUCUCACGAACGUCUCUUCCUCCAGUCAGGAAGUGGCAGCACUUCGGCGCACGCUCUCUUCUCACCUCUUUACCUCUAGUCCAGAAGCAGAGCUGCACACAUGCAAUCCUCCUGCCUGCACCUGCUGGACGGUACCAAGGGCCAGCUCCGUCUCUAGGGCUCUUACUAAUAACUGAAGCAAGAGUUCAAGCCCCAAUCCACAAACCUGGGACAACUACAUUACGCCUCCCGAUUGCUCAGAAAGCCAAACCUGCCCCGCUUGCAACCUCUGCACUAACCCAGCAAGCCUGGACGAAGGGGGAAGUGGGGAUAUUGUGAACCACCCAACCUCCCAGAGCUAGGAGUGGCUGACAGCCCCGAGCCGGGACCCCUCUCUCUCCACGUGGUGUGCUCCAUUCACCGCUUGUAGUCCCAGCUCGAAGAAGUCAAGGCUUCAAAGUGGGUCCAUCAGGAGCUGAAGCAAGUGCUGCUCGGCAGAGAGGCGCUAACUAGAACCCGUCUAACCCCAGCGGUGCCACUGCCACUGCCGCCCUGCUUUCCACCACUGGAGCACCACGGCAGGUCUUCUUUGCUCGUCUUCCCCACCCUUGGGCCCCACUCCUGCCUUCGCUGCCACCCUCAGCUGGUCACGCACAAGCAGCCUUUGCAGCAUUGCCCAUCUGUAGCAGUGUUUCAGGCUGCCUCAAAGAGCCUCCGGGACUACACGCUUUUGGAAAGGGAUCCGUGCUCUACCUGGGCCAAGGGAGUCUUUGAUCCCCUCAAAAGACACUCCUAAAUAACAGUCUUCUUUCCUUUCCCUUCCCUUCCCUUCCCGAAGGCGGCCUCAAUGCCAACUCGCUUCCUCCAGCAGAGAGAGACUCCUGGGUAAAGCCUGUUUGCUCUCGUCUCCGCUGACCGUAGCCCAGACCUCUUCACCCCACCGCGGCAGGCUGCAACGGGGCCGGGCUCGGACACGAUGCUCCAGUGUGGCCCCUUUCGACUCUACCGUCCACGAGUCUAUGAAACAGCGCUUCGGGUGACUCGUGUCCGCCAGCGCGUAACGCCCGAUGCGACGCCCCCGGUACGCAGCUCAGUGGACCUAAGUGCUGAAACGUGAGCCUGGUUCGCCCUUUCAAAGAUGCGGAAAAUCCAUGAAUACACCUAUGUUUGUACA